CUUGGUGAUUAGAGCGGUGUGGAAACACCUCUUCCCAUUCCGAACAGAGAAGUGAAACGCACCAGCGACGACGAUAGUUGGCCCGCAAGGACCCGCGAAAAUAGUUCAUUGCCAAGG
rnacentral:rRNA from 1 species